UGGGGAAUAUUGCACAAUGGGCGCAAGCCUGAUGCAGCCAUGCCGCGUGUAUGAAGAAGGCCUUCGGGUUGUAAAGUACUUUCAGCGGGGAGGAAGGGAGUAAAGUUAAUACCUUUGCUCAUUGACGUUACCCGCAGAAGAAGCACCGGCUAACUCCGUGCCAGCAGCCGCGGUAAUACGGAGGGUGCAAGCGUUAAUCGGAAUUACUGGGCGUAAAGCGCACGCAGGCGGUUUGUUAAGUCAGAUGUGAAAUCCCCGGGCUCAAACUGGGAAAUGCAAUCGAUACUUGGAAGGUUUAGUCUCGUAGAGGGGGGUAGAAUUCCAGGUGUAGCGGUGAAAUGCGUAGAGAUCUGGAGGAAUACCGGUGGCGAAGGCGGCCCCCUGGACGAAGACUGACGCUCAGGUGCGAAAGCGUGGGGAGCAAACAGG
rnacentral:rRNA from 1 species